CCCUAACCCCCAAGGUGAUAGCAUUAGGAGGUGGGGCCUUUGGGAGGUGACUAGGUCAUGAGCAGGCAGCCCUCAUAAUUGAGACUAUUCCCUUUACGGAAGAGACUCUAGCAAGUUCCUUUGCCCCUGCUAAGGUGAGGUGAUGGUGAGAAGACCAUCAUAUAUGAACUGGGAAGUGGACCCUCACCAGCCACCAACUCUGCCUGCACCUUGACCUUGUACUUCCAGCCUCCUAUGAGGAAUAAAUUUCUGUUGUGUAUACCCUACCUCAUUUACAGCAUUUUGUUAUAGCAUCCUGAAUAGACUAAGACAGGCUAGAGGAAAAUGGGGUCACAGACAAGAGUCUUGAGGACUCAAAACUAACAAAUGAUGUACAAAAAAAAAAAAAGACUCUUCUUUAAGCUUCAUUGCUGUGAAUAAUGACUUUAUAAUAUUGGCAAAAAUGAUUGAAGGUCAGUUAUAAGUGGAUGUUACAGGUGGAUUCAAAUGUUUGUGCCUCUAAAGAUUCUUUGAAUAUUCUUCUUGGGAACUGAGUCUCCUUUCCAACCUCGGCACUUACUGCUGGUUGCUUCCCAGUGGCAUAGAGCUGGCUUGGUGUCCCGUCCUACAUCCUCAUGGCAGUCUAAGGGCCACCCCACACACUGUGUGUUGUGUCUCACAGCACUUGCUACAAGACGUGCCCAGACCUUGGCACUCCAGGAGAGCAGUGGGGAGAGACAUGCAAUACUUCUGGAAUCCUGCUGGUUGCCACGAGAAAUUAACUAACCAAACCAAGAAGGCUUUUGUGUUUUUCCAGAGACUAAGCUUUCUUCCUCAAGUUGCAAGCUACUCUUCACGCUUCCAGAUCCAAAGUACAAAUUCUUAUAAAGUGGAGAGUCCAGCCCAAUGCUCUUCAGAUGUUUGUUCACGAAGGGGCAAGAGAAAGGAUCUUUUACCUAAAAAUGCCUCCAAAAACGGGAUCGAUCUGGUCAUAGAUGGGCUGAGUGAUGGCUUCGUUCAGAUCUAUUCUUGCAAGAGUCCUGGAGGCAUAGAUGCCAUUUUUCAGGCAAACAGCUUUCAGAGUCUGAUGAAAGCCCUGGUUUCCUCUACUCCUCUAGAAUGCAAAGGAACUGACAAAACUCUUGCCUUCCAACUUUCCAUCAAUGAACAAAGACUGAGACCAAUAUCUGAGGCCAAAGAAUUUUGAGGGAAAAUGCUGGCAAAAGGCUAUCUGAAGGGCUACCCGAGAAGCGCCAACCGGCUCCCUGCCCUGUGUUUGCUGUCGCCUACAGUCUGGCUGCAAGGAUGGUAUUUCAUCCCCACACGGGCUGCCCCUCUGCCUCAGCAGAGGAGAGCAUGAAGGGGGGGGGGGGGCGCACUUCUGAGUUUGAUUGCAAAAUGCCUUGUCCUUGUGUUUGUAAAACAAACCAACCGCACACGGCACCACAUCUGAUUUGUUUUCCAUCAGCAUUUCCAAAAGCAAUCUUUUGCUGGGCAGAGAGGCGAUUUUCACCCCGAAGAACUUUUUCGGGAAGUUAGAAGGUCAAAUGCUUCCCUGGUAUUUCAGAGGACAAAGUCAAAUUAGAGAAUCUCAGAUUCCAGGAGGUUGUUUUAUGCUUUGUUUAAUUUUUUUAGUUUUUGGUUUGUUUUUUUUUUUUUGUCACAGAAGUAAGCCAAAAUGAGGCAUAAGAAACAUGAUGAAAAAGACAGGGAACCUCUCUCUAUAUAUCACUUUUAUAUAGAAUUUUUUUAAUGUAGAUAUUUGACCAAAACUGCAGAUGCCGUCUACAGUUGGCAUUGCUUACUCUUCACAUUGAGGUCAGGUCCCCAUUAUCUGCUCCUCCUGGCCACUCCAUGGGGCCAAACUGGGUAUACCUACCCACAUUCUCAGGACCAGCCCCUUGAACUCUCAUAGAGCCCUACUGGUUCACUUUCUCUGGCCCUACCUCCUUCUGCAUGACAAGAAAUUGGGCAGUUUGGUUGUGCAAAUCUGAUGGCUGAAAGCAAGUGUAGAAAUAAACACCAACCAAAUGAGAACCUGCAAAGGCUAUUUAUUCAGAACUUGCUGUAGCAAGAGAGUCAGCCACCAUCACUUGGGUUUGGCAGAGACUCAAAGGCAAGCAGAGGAGUGGGAAGUUUUCAGGUAUGCUCCCAUCUGAGGCUGCUGGCACAGGGAAGCUGUGGGUGGGCUAACUAGAAGCAAGGAUCCUAUAUGAUUCGGUAGGGUGCAUAUUUGGCUUCUCUGGCUGGAAGCAGGGAUGUAGAUUAGGAAAGUUGCCGAUUAUUAACCCAUCAGCCCAUUGGGGCUAAUUGUUAUAGACAUUAUUGCUUAGCUUCUUGGAGUCAGAUAGCAGUCUGACUCCCCAUGAGUCUAAUUUAUAGCAGGCUGUCCUCCCAAGCUCAUUAUUGUAGAUAAGGGGCUGGUUUCCUAGGCAGGUGGCUACAGGCUGUGAGUCAGAGUUCUGAUUUUUUUGUUUUUUUUAAGUUUAUUUAUUUAUCUUGAUAGAGUGAGAGCAGGGGAGGGGUAGAUAGAGAGAGAGAGAAAGAAAGAAUCCCAAGCAGGUUCUGCACUGUGAGUGUAGAGCCCGAUACGGGGCCAGAACCCAUGAAUUGUGAGCUCAUGACCGGAGCCAAAACCGAGAGUCAGACACUUAAAAAACUAAGCCACCCAGGUGCCCCCAGAGUUCUGGUUUAACAUAUGACUUCCUACUUGUAUAUUCAGUCCCUCACAAAGAAGCAAUGCACUUGGUGACUGAUUGCAGCAACAGAUCUUUCUCCCAAACUCUCCCCAACCUCUAACCUAGCAGCCUAUCCAUCUUAUUUUAGGGUAAAAAGAGCCACCCACCAAAGAGAUAAAUUUGUCCAUUACUAUGAGAAAAGUAAUUUUGAACUGGCCAUUCAGAAGGUCUGCAUUCUAGAUCAUGAAGAUAAAUACAUAAACUCUUUGCUGACUGUCCCUCCUAGAUCCCUUCCUCACAUUAUUUUGCUAGGCUGCUCUGAGUUUGAGAUUCUGAUGGCACCAAGGCAUAAGGGAAAUCUAUAGACAGACGAAAAAGUUUUUGGACUGGAGCCAUUCCUUGGUAGGAUAACCAAGAAUUGCCAAUAUUCUACUAGAUUGAAACAGAUCACUUCUGUUAUCACUUAAACACAUUCCAUCUUCUUCAAGUCUCAGGAGAGGUAAAAGCAGCUGCUGAUUGAUUUUACAUUUUCCUCUCAACCCAUGCAAAAUAUUAUUUGUUUCUUUUUUUACUCAAAUGUCACAAUUUUAACCCCCUAAUUAUCUUUUUGUCCACUUUGAAUUUCUGGGCUUAGUAUCUUCCUUUGAUAUGAAAAGAAAAAUUAUUGUAAGUUAUUUUUCUAGCUUUGCAAAAGGGAAUGUUCUGCUCAGUUUGGGAGGCAGAAAAUACACGCACAGGUAUCUCUCAUACCGGCAGGUUUUCCAUGCAGUUGAAACUGUCCGUGAGGAGCAACAGACCAAAGGCUUCAGUAACAUACUUGGUCACCAUCCUCCUCUUCUUGUCCAAGAGCCUCUUCCUGAUAUAGCCUCUUAACUUGGGGAUUUCUGGAAUUCACAGGCAGCACAAACCAUUUUAAAAGGCCAGAGUUCACAGCAAAUAGAAUCCACAAAAAUUAACAGAUCAGAAUGGCAGUCUGAAUUAACCACAGUUGAGGUCCUACAUGGGCUGACUGCCCACUCACUACACCAGCUUUUCUGAGGGUAUUUUCUCCGUGUCUAGGAUCAACAAUAAGGAAGUUAGCCUCCUAAUUCCUAAUUUUAUUUAGCGGUACAAGUCAAAGUAAGUAGAAAAGUGCAGGCUGCUUAAAAACAUUGGCACUUCCCUUUGGCCUGCUACUCACCAGAAUAGUUGAAUCAAAGGUGCCCACAAUCCGAGAUACUCAGCUCUUCAGUCCCCCUAGACUUCUCCAUCUAUAUCAAAUAACCCUUAACAUGAAAAUCACUCAUGCCUGCUGUAGAAAGGAUGAGAACCUCUGCUGAGUGGGAUUCAUGUUAGUCCUAAUGCUGUGUUCGUCAGAAGGUAACAGACUCUUCCUACCUUUUCUCCCAUUAUUCCCAUAAGUGGAAAUUCUCUUUUUUUUUUUUUUUUGAGAGAGAGAGAGGGUGAAAAUGAGUGAGGGGCAGAGAGACAGAGGGAAUCCCACCAGGGACAGAGAGAGAGAGAGAGAAGCAGGUCUCACCCAAAGCAGGAUGCCUGCUAACUCGAAGCAGGUCUCGUCAAGCUCGGGUCCUGCCUGCUUGCCCACUUUUCACUGAGUGCUCCAGUCACACAGACCUUUAGGUUCUUUGGAUUUGUACUCACAGCACCAUUUAACCAAGCUUUAUUUUUACCUUGAUGUUUUACACACGGCUUAGUAUUUGCUCCUCAUGUAGAUUUUAAAUUCUGACAAGAAAGGGGUCAUGUCUUCUGCUUCUUCCUCCUCAGAGACAGAGCAUACAACAGAAGCUCAGUAAAUACUAAUACCUGUAGCUGGGUGAGUGAGGAAUCUCAAGCCAAACACUGAGAAAGGACAACCCAAUCACUGACCUCUACCAACUCUUGGUAGACUUUGGAUGAAAGAGGAAUUGUCUCAGGCACCACAAUGCAGAGAGAAAAACAAAUACAUUUGUUAAUAGGUACAGAAACUGUGGCAAGCUGGAAAUGUGGCGCAGAAAGUUCUAGAGAGGGAAAUUCAGAGCUCAAUCUUGAGAAUUUUAGAGACUGAGAUAAAAAAUGUAUCAAUUACCAGUUUCCUCCUCGGUGAGGAGAGCCUGUUGCCAGUACUCCUGGGCGCUGACUGUGUACACGAGAUCAGAGGCUUCCAGAACCUUGGAGUCGGCAGGCAGUUUUCUCUGAAGGGAGAGCGGCACACGGAGAACAGAAUACUCAAACAUGGUAAAGGAAAUAAUGCACAGGCCUUACAAGAGCCUUCAGCAAAUUUCAGCUCACUAACUUUCGGUGCUGCAACAGCCCCUUAAAGAACACACAACACCUUGUACGUCAGGUCUUCCUAUCUGUCCAGGCCUCAUAAGGUUGGAUGUUGUAAGAAAACUGCUACAUGGAAACUAUUCUCUCAGGAGGUAAAAAUAGCAGUUUUAGGGGUGCCUGAGUGGCUCAGUAGGUUAAGUGUCCGACUCUUGAUUUCGGCUCAGGUCACGAUCUCACAGUUCGGGAGUUCGAGCCCCACGUCACACUCUGCACCAAUAGUAUGGAGCCUGUUUGGGAUUCUUUCUCUCCCUCUCUCCUUCUCUCUCUCUCUCUCUCUCUCUCUCUCUCACUCUCUCUCUGCCCCUCCCUCUCUCUCUCUCUCAACCCACCCCCAACAUAAAUAAGAUUUUUUAAAUAAAUAAAAAUACCAAUUCUAGAAGGAAAUGUAUAGAGAAAAUGGUUUAAAGUGUACCAAAGUGUUCACAGAGGGGAAAAGUACCACAGG